rnacentral:rRNA from 1 species
CCUACGGGAGGCAGCAGUGGGGAAUAUUGCGCAAUGGGCGAAAGCCUGACGCAGCGACGCCGCGUGAGGGAUGAAGGUAUUCGGAUCGUAAACCUCUGUCAGCAGGGAAGAACGGUCACUGUGCUAAUCAGCAGUGAAUUGACGGUACCUGCAAAGGAAGCACCGGCUAACUCCGUGCCAGCAGCCGCGGUAAUACGGAGGGUGCGGGCGUUAAUCGGAAUUACUGGGCGUAAAGCGCUCGUAGGCGGUAUGUCAAGUCAAGGGUGAAAUCCCCGCGCUCAACGUGGGAACUGCCUUUGAAACUGGCAGACUGGAGUGUGUGAGAGGAUAGCGGAAUUCCAGGUGUAGGAGUGAAAUCCGUAGAUAUCUGGAGGAACAUCAGUGGCGAAGGCGACAAUCUGGCACAUAACUGACGCUGAGGAGCGAAAGCGUGGGUAGCAAACAGGAUUAGAUACCCGAGUAGUC